UGUACACACAAUGCAGCAAACCAGCGAACUGUUGUUGUCCCCCGAGGGGCCUCACCCGGAGGUGGGGCCGCCGAUGGCGUGGCUCGGUCGAGAGGCCGGCCCGUGGGCGUAGCGGAUCCUCGCCAUCGGCCGGAGUGUCUCAUUGUCGUGGUUUCGGUCGUCUGGUGUUGGUUUCCCCUUAGUGUGGGAGUUAGCCUCUAGCGAUCGGGGUCGGGCACUCCCCUCCCCCUUUUUCCCCGUCUUUGGGGUCUUUGGGGCCGCUUUUUUCAUAAGCACUUUGAGGAACAUGAAUUCUGAGACUGAGCCUGGGGCCCUUUGUGUCACCGUUGUGGGUGGCACAGCCCCGAGUCAAAAACCAAAAUAAUGACUCUCAGCAACGGAUAUCUUGGCUCUUGCAACGAUGAAGAACGCAGCGAAAUGCGAUACCUAGUGUGAAUUGCAGAAUUCCGCGAAUCAUCGAGUCUUUGAACGCAAGUUGCGCCCGAGGCUUGUCCCGAGGGCAUGCCUGCCUGAGCGUCACCGCACUCCCACCUGGACACUCUCCAGUGUGGAAUUGGCCGUCCGGGGCCCAGCGUAAAAGCUUUGGGUCGUGGUGGGCUGAAAUUUAGCUAUCUGUGCGUAGCCGAAGAGAGAGGCCGCGAGAAGGUGAUUCGCUCUUGGCGGAGCGGAGUCUAAUUGGACAGCGUCUCUCCCUUUGGUGGUCCAGAUGGUGACACUCAAAAGUGUCAUUGGGGAGUGCAAGUAACGUUGCAUGUCCCCUCCCCUACAGCUUGGACCUCAGAUCAGGCAAGAUUACCCGC
rnacentral:rRNA from 1 species